AUUGAACGCUGGCGGUAGGCCUAACACAUGCAAGUCGAACGAGUGGCGGACGGGUGAGUAAUGUCUGGGAAACUGCCUGAUGGAGGGGGAUAACUACUGGAAACGGUAGCUAAUACCGCAUACCAUCAGAUGUGCCCAGAUGGGAUUAGCUAGUUGGUGGGGUAACGGCUCACCAAGGCGACGAUCCCUAGCUGGUCUGAGAGGAUGACCCGCCACACUGGAACUGCGACACGGUCCAGACUCCUAGGGUGGGCAGUAGUGGGGAAGAUUGCACAAUGGGCGCAAGACUGAUGCAGCCGUGCCGCGUGUAUGAAGAAGGCAAUCGACUUAUAGAGUACUUUCAGCGGGGAGGCGUUACCCGCAGAAGAGGCGCCGGCUAACUCCGUGCCAGCAGCCGCGGUAAUAC
rnacentral:rRNA from 1 species